rfam:Nomascus siki mitochondrial DNA, complete genome.
UAGAUUGAAGCCAAGUUGUUUAGGGUGUUUAGCUGUUAACUAAAUUUUUAUGGGUUUGAGUCCCAUCAAUCUAG